GCAGCAGCCGCGGGAAUACGUAGGGUGCAAGCGUUAUCCGGAAUUAUUGGGCGUAAAGAGCUCGUAGGCGGUUUGUCGCGUCUGCUGUGAAAACUGGAGGCUCAACCUCCAGCCUGCAGUGGGUACGGGCAGACUAGAGUGCGGUAGGGGAGAUUGGAAUUCCUGGUGUAGCGGUGGAAUGCGCAGAUAUCAGGAGGAACACCGAUGGCGAAGGCAGAUCUCUGGGCCGUAACUGACGCUGAGGAGCGAAAGCGUGGGGAGCGAACAGGAUUAGAGACCCCCGUAGUCCCUGUCUCUUAUAC
rnacentral:rRNA from 1 species